rnacentral:rRNA from 1 species
GAUGAACGCUGGCGGCGUGCCUAAUACAUGCAAGUCGAGCGAAUGGAUUAAGAGCUUGCCCUUAUGAAGUUAGCGGCGGACGGGUGAGUAACACGUGGGUAACCUGCCCAUAAGACUGGGAUAACUCCGGGAAACCGGGGCUAAUACCGGAUAACAUUUUGAACCGCAUGGUUCGAAAUUGAAAGGCGGCUUCGGCUGUCACUUAUGGAUGGACCCGCGUCGCAUUAGCUAGUUGGUGAGGUAACGGCUCACCAAGGCAACGAUGCGUAGCCGACCUGAGAGGGUGAUCGGCCACACUGGGACUGAGACACGGCCCAGACUCCGACGGGAGGCAGCAGUAGGGAAUCUUCCGCAAUGGACGAAAGUCUGACGGAGCAACGCCGCGUGAGUGAUGAAGGCUUUCGGGUCGUAAAACUCUGUUGUAAGGGAAGAACAAGUGCCGCAGGCAAUGGCGGCACCUUGACGGUACCUUGCGAGAAAGCCACGGCUAACUACGUGCCAGCCGCCGCCGUAA